rnacentral:rRNA from 1 species
ACAUGCCUACAACUUAACGUUAAUGCACUGGAUCCCAUCAGAACUUCGCAGUUAAGCGCACUCGGGCUAGAGUAGUACUGGGAUGGGUGACCUCCCGGGAAGUCCUAGUAUUUUACAUGCC